UCCUUGUUUCCAAGGCAGUCUCGCUAAAGUGCCCAACUAAAUGUAGCAACUAGCGACAAGGGUUGCGCUCGUUAAAGGACUUAACCCAACAUCUCACGACACGAGCUGACGACAGCCAUGCAGCACCUGUGUAAUUGUCUUGGUUUCCCAAGAACACUCUAUCUCUAGAGCUGUCAAAAACAUGUCAAGCCUAGGUAAGGUUUCUCGCGUAGUGUCGAAUUAAACCACAUGUUCCACCGCUUGUGCGGACCCCCGUCAAUUUCUUUGAGUUUUAAUCUUGCGACCGUACUACUCAGGCGGAUCACUUAACGCGUUAGCUUCGAUACGGAUCCCCCAAGGGAGACCCACAUCUAGUGAUCAUCGUUUACAGCGUGGACUAC
rnacentral:misc_RNA from 1 species